CGGUCACCAAUGUAGAGUUCCUGCCUGUAGGGCCUGUGGGUCAGUUAAAACUGAGAGACCUCGUAAAAAAAAAAAAAAAGAGAGAGCGAGAGACGGUUUUAUCGGAAGUCGCUGUGAACCUGCGCGGACAUGUUGUGAAGAAUCUCCACCCUGCGCCUGAGGAGACCUACACAGCUGGAGGGCAAAACUGAAAACAGGACCCGGUGUGAAAAAAAAAACAACAAAAAAAACACAGUUUCGCAUUCUUCACACGCCGAGGCAACUCAUGGAACACACCCGGAGUCUCGUAUGACAUGUUCCACAAUGAUAUUUGCCUGUGGAUAUACCAACGAUGCUCCUUUACUGAAGCCAGUGGCUGUCAUUAUUAAUCCGAAUAAACUCUGUUUACUCGUCGUCAAACGUCAUCUGUAUCACCGCAACACGGUGUACGUAUUAACGCAGAAACAAGAACUCCUUUCCGAAUCCUGACCACUACAUCGCAGUGCUUUCACUCCAAAACACCUGACGCAACCCAGUUAACAAGCCUUCUAUUAGUUUCAACACGAGUGUAGUGUAAAACACUACCACUGUGAAGUGUUACUCCGGAUCUCAGCUACGAAACUCUAAACUAUUACAUGUGGCAGCACAACAACUCACUCCUCACUGUACACCUGCCAAACCUGUUCUGCUAUAGACGGAUGACAGACAAAUCAAAAACAAGCCGAAGAACUUGGACAACAGUGGAAAAUUGAAAUCCAGCAGACAACUUUGAUUUCUUCUGUGACGACCAGAGCCAUUUUUCACUAAGUCCCCCUUGCUGGAAUGACAAGCAAGGCAUUAAACUGCUCCGUCACACAUUCCCCUCCCCUCUUUUUCACAGCACAGCCGGGGGAGAUGAAAUCAGGACGAUAAGGCAACACUGGGACAUAUCCAGGAAAUUAAAGCACAUUGAAGGAGACGGCAUGGACAGCAGCCAGCCUCUGUGUUUAACUGACUGUUGUUUGAGUAAAGCACAAAUGACCAGUGGCGUCCCAAGAAGUCGCUCUACUUACAGAAGAAAAGAAACUUCAGCCUCCUGGAGUGAGUUUCCGCCUCCAUUCAGUAGGCUUCUCUAAUUCAUUUAUAUAAUUAUAUAACUGGCUUAAGGCACAAAUCAAUUGACGAGAUUGCGCAAAAUGAACCAAAGGACAUGAGCAAAACAAACCUCUUACUGUGAAGUCCAGCUAAUUUCCACUAAAAAUUUCAGCGUCCAUUAAAGCAGACACUGCAUGUAAUUACUAAGUUAUUUUAACUCUAAAAGAUAACAAACAGAAUCAGUGAUCCGGUUCUUAUCGCCACAGGAGAGAGGAAAGGGGGUGCAGAACAGAAUAAUUAGCCAGAGAGACUCAGGCAAAGUCAACAGGUUUGAAUCAUGCCAUUUACACUGGCCUCGCUGGACUCCCACACAUAAUUAUAAAAUCUGCUUAGCUGAAUCAUAAAAAUAAAAUAAAAAAACAUGGAAUGAGGGCACGGAGGACCAUCAGUGAAGCCAUUAGUGGCCUAUGUCUAUUUUAUAACCUUGCAUUAAACUGCUGUGUGAUGAGAAUGCGAAAGUGCUAACAGGAAGGUUGGAAUCCUACAGUGUUUGUUAACCAUAUUACACAGGUGAAUCCUUCAUGAAUAUUCCAUCAAUCCAUUUUCAGUACUGCUUAUCCUACACGGUCAGGUGACCCCACAGGUUAUGGUUAGGAGUGCCAACAUUUUUGCCACAUGUCUAUUUAGGAAAAAUACCAACUUUCCUCUAGCUGUUUGUGUAAAUUUUUAAUUAUACUAUCCUUUGGGUCCUGCCAGUGGGGUGUCAAUCAUUCUGAAGUGAAGAGUGUGGAAUAUAAACACAUUUUCAUUCAGUCAGAUCAAACACACAGACCAAACCCUCACAUAAACAAGUGCAUCUUGUGACUUUUGUCUGGUGAUCAGCCAGCGCUCAAAACUUCUGCAGCCAGUACUGUAACUGUAAAUUAAAUUCCAUACACUUCUACAGUACAUAUUAAUGAACACAAUCCUACUAGUCAAAUAUUAGAACUAUUAUUCGAAUGUGUAUAAUAACAUACAAUAACAUGCAAUAAAAUGUAUAAUAUCCAUACAGCUUUUUAUUCUGAACUUUCUCUGGCAGAACACACUGAGUUUAAGCUGACAUUAUUUAUAGGCUGGUUUUGUAGUUUUGUUUCUUGGGUAUAUAUAUAUAUAUAUAUAUAUAUAUGCAUAAGUAAACAAUUGCCACACCAUCCAACAAUAUAGAUGGGCUGUAGGCCAACAUACUCACAAAAAGAAGCCACGGGAGGCAAAUCAAAUGGUUCACAGCUGCUCAGUCAAACAUUCUAUUGUACCAAGUAACAAUGCGCUGGAGUUUUAAAAGCCUGUAAAUUGCCAAAAUAUGUGCACCCAACAACAUCAGGAGGCAGACUAUUCCAAAUCUUGUGUGGAGAAUGGAUCUAUCGAGUAGAUGGGUCCUGGCCAUUGGAAUGGAACAUGCUGGAGUGUCGAGACACACCCUCUAGUGGUUCACCCUGAGGUCCAGAUUUGAGUAAUUGAGGUUUGGAUUAAACCAAUUCAAAUGACCAGGCAAACAGGCUAUAAAGCUCAAUAAUAAAUAUAAUGUAUUUGAUAAUGGUGGGUCGUAAUUUCCACCGACCAUAAACAACAAACAACAACAACAAAAAACAGACUGCAGACCUCCUAGAUUUGAUUUAUGGACCAUGGGAGGUCCUCAGACUGCACUUUGAGAACCAAUGACCUAGAGCAGGGUAUAGAGUAUUCAGAAAACCAGCCCGUAGUCCACUAUACCUCCAUCAUCCAGACCCAUAAUGCCUCAUGUCCUUCUAGAUGCCACUUUGAGCUACAAGUUAUACAUUGAAGGAGCCACCCUCUUGGAAGGAGCAACUUUACGGACAGUACAUGCAUUCAGAACGUCCAUCAAAACUUUGGCAAAAAUCCCAUUACACUGGGAAGCAUUUGGAUGCAAGGACCAAUUACAUCAAGGAGUUAAAUUCCACUGGAAAAUGCUCUUUAUGUGCUUUAUGCGGUUGUUGAGGCAGGCUAGAGAGCUGUGUUUACAGUUCAUUUCACUUUAGUACAGUUUAGAUUCUUUUUAACUGACCCUCAGUUUUUAGUUAAUGUUGCUAAUACUUAGUACUGCAUGUCAAGGUUGGUAUGAUUAGCUUUGCAAUUAGAUUUGUGUUUUGUUUGUCAGGCUGUAUUUAUCAUGAUGUCACUAGUUUGAGCUUUAUCUAAACUCAAAGCUUUUUUU